AUGUCAAGAGGACACCUCCUGAUCAAUUGCUUGUAUCUUUUCCAAGCUUCAUAGAGGGAUUCACCCUCUUUUUGUCUGAAUGUUUGAACUUCCACUCUGAGCUU